UACGGAGGGGGCUAGCGUUGUUCGGAAUUACUGGGCGUAAAGCGCGCGUAGGCGGACCUGCAAGUCGGGGGUGAAAGCCCGAGGCUCAACCUCGGAACUGCCUUCGAUACUGCGGGUCUCGAGUCCGGGAGAGGUGAGUGGAAUUCCGAGUGUAGAGGUGAAAUUCGUAGAUAUUCGGAAGAACACCAGUGGCGAAGGCGGCUCACUGGACUGGUAUUGACGCUGAGGUGCGAAAGCGUGGGGAGCAAACAGG
rnacentral:rRNA from 1 species